UCCGGUUUGUCACCGGCAGUCUCAUUAAAGUGCCCAACUGAAUGAUGGCAAUUAAUGACAAGGGUUGCGCUCGUUGCGGGACUUAACCCAACAUCUCACGACACGAGCUGACGACAGCCAUGCAGCAUCUGUGGUGCACCCUCGAAGGUCACACGUUUCCGUGCGCUUGCAGCACCAUGUCAAGUCCAGGUAAGGUUCUUCGCGUUGCAUCGAGUUAAAGAACAUGCUCCGCUGCUUGUGCGGGCCCCCGUCAAUUCAUUUGAGUUUUAAUCUUGCGACCGUACUCCCCAGGCGGUCAACUUGUUGCGUUAGCUGCGCCACUAAAGGCAUUACGCCCCCAACGGCUAGUUGACAUCGUUUACAGCGUGGACUAC
rnacentral:misc_RNA from 1 species